UGUGCUUGUUGUCCCUAAGCCUGAGU
rnacentral:piRNA from 1 species